rnacentral:rRNA from 1 species
UACGUAGGUGGCAAGCGUUGUCCGGAAUUAUUGGGCGUAAAGAGCGCGUAGGCGGUUUCCUAAGUCAGAUGUGAAAACCCCGGGCUUAACCUGGGACCUGCAUUUGAAACUGGGAGACCAGAGUACAGGAGAGGUAAGUGGAAUUCCUAGUGUAGCGGUGAAAUGCGUAGAUAUUAGGAGGAACACCAGUGGCGAAGGCGACUUACUGGACUGUAACUGACGCUGAGGCGCGAAAGCGUGGGGAGCAAACAGG